rnacentral:miRNA from 1 species
UCGGGCCCCGCGGACGCUACG